rnacentral:rRNA from 1 species
UACAGAGGUCUCAAGCGUUGUUCGGAUCCAUUGGGCGUAAAGGGUGCGUAGGUGGCGCUGUAAGUCAGGUGUGAAAUUUCGGAGCUUAACUCCGAAACUGCAUUUGAUACUGCGGUGCUUGAGGACUGGAGAGGAGAUUGGAAUUCACGGUGUAGCAGUGAAAUGCGUAGAUAUCGUGAGGAAGACCAGUGGCGAAGGCGGAUCUCUGGACAGUUCCUGACACUGAGGCACGAAGGCUAGGGGAGCAAACGGG